rnacentral:rRNA from 1 species
AGUAAAGCGGCGCACGGGUGAGUAAUGCAUAGGAAUUUGCCUUUGGGUGGAGAAUACCUUGGAGAAAUCCAAGUUAAUACUGCAUAAGUCGGAAACGAGAAAGGUGGCCUAAUAGCUACCGCCGAGAGAUAAGCCUAUGUUCUAUUAGCUAGUUGGUGGGGUAAAGGCCUACCAAGGCAAAGAUGGAUAGCCGACCUGAGAGGGUGAUCGGCCACACUGGAACUGAGACACGGUCCAGACUCCUACGGGAGGCAGCAGUGGGGAAUAUUGCACAAUGAGCGAAAGCUUGAUGCAGCGACGCCGCGUGGAGGAUGAAGGUCUUCGGAUUGUAAACUCCUGUUAAGUGGGAAAAAAGACGCAUACCUAAUACGUAUGUGGGAUGAUGGUACCACUAGAGAAAGCACCGGCAAACUUCGUGCCAGCAGCCGCGGUAAUACGAAGGGUGCGAGCGUUAUUCGGAAUCACUGGGCGUAAAGAGCGUUAAGACGGCCUAUUAAGUUAACUGUUAAAUUACCCGGCUCAACCGGGUGUCUGCAGGUAAUACUGGUAGGCUCGAGUGUAAGAGAGAAAAGUGGAAUUCUCGGAGUAGCGGUAAAAUGCGUAGAUCCCGAGAGGAACACCGGUUGCGAAGGCGGCUUUUUGGCUUACUACUGACGUUGCAGCGCGAAAGCGUGGGGAGCAAACAGGAUUAGAUACCCUGGUAGUCCACGCCGUAAACGAUGAUCACUAGAUGUGGGACGGGCAUAGCCUGUUCUGUGUCGAAGCUAACGCGUUAAGUGAUCCGCCUGGGAAAUACGGUCGCAAGAUAAAACUCAAAGAAAUUGACGGGGGUCCGCACAAGCGGUGGAACAUGUGGUUUAAUUCGACACUACGCGAGGAACCUU